rnacentral:rRNA from 1 species
GAGGAAAGCUGGCGGCGUGCUUAACACAUGCAAGUCGAACGGAAAGGCCCUGCUUUUGUGGGGUGCUCGGGUGGCGAACGGGUGAGUAACACGUGAGUAACCUGCCCUUGACUUUGGGAUAACUUCAGGAAACGGGGGCUAAUACCGUAUAGGAGCUCCUGCUGCAUGGUGGGGGUUGGAAAGUUUCGGCGGUUGGGGAUGGACUCGCGGCUUAUCAGCUUGUUGGUGGGGUAGUGGCUUACCAAGGCUUUGACGGGUAGCCGGCCUGAGAGGGUGACCGGCCACAUUGGGACUGAGAUACGGCCCAGACUCCUACGGGAGGCAGCAGUGGGGAAUAUUGCACAAUGGGCGGAAGCCUGAUGCAGCAACGCCGCGUGCGGGAUGACGGCCUUCGGGUUGUAAACCGCUUUCGCCUGUGACGAAGCGUGAGUGACGGUAAUGGGUAAAGAAGCACCGGCUAACUACGUG